rnacentral:rRNA from 1 species
GAUGAACGCUGGCGGCGUGCCUAAUACAUGCAAGUCGAGCGAACGGACGAGAAGCUUGCUUCUCUGAUGUUAGCGGCGGACGGGUGAGUAACACGUGGAUAACCUACCUAUAAGACUGGGAUAACUUCGGGAAACCGGAGCUAAUACCGGAUAAUAUUUUGAACCGCAUGGUUCAAAAGUGAAAGACGGUCUUGCUGUCACUUAUAGAUGGAUCCGCGCUGCAUUAGCUAGUUGGUAAGGUAACGGCUUACCAAGGCAACGAUGCAUAGCCGACCUGAGAGGGUGAUCGGCCACACUGGAACUGAGACACGGUCCAGACUCCUACGGGAGGCAGCAGUAGGGAAUCUUCCGCAAUGGGCGAAAGCCUGACGGAGCAACGCCGCGUGAGUGAUGAAGGUCUUCGGAUCGUAAAACUCUGUUAUUAGGGAAGAACAUAUGUGUAAGUAACUGUGCACAUCUUGACGGUACCUAAUCAGAAAGCCACGGCUAACUACGUGCCAGCAGCCGCGGUAAUACGUAGGUGGCAAGCGUUAUCCGGAAUUAUUGGGCGUAAAGCGCGCGUAGGCGGUUUUUUAAGUCUGAUGUGAAAGCCCACGGCUCAACCGUGGAGGGUCAUUGGAAACUGGAAAACUUGAGUGCAGAAGAGGAAAGUGGAAUUCCAUGUGUAGCGGUGAAAUGCGCAGAGAUAUGGAGGAACACCAGUGGCGAAGGCGACUUCCUGGUCUGUAACUGACGCUGAUGUGCGAAAGCGUGGGGAUCAAACAGGAUUAGAUACCCUGGUAGUCCACGCCGUAAACGAUGAGUGCUAAGUGUUAGGGGGUUUCCGCCCCUUAGUGCUGCAGCUAACGCAUUAAGCACUCCGCCUGGGGAGUACGACCGCAAGGUUGAAACUCAAAGGAAUUGACGGGGACCCGCACAAGCGGUGGAGCAUGUGGUUUAAUUCGAAGCAACGCGAAGAACCUUACCAAAUCUUGACAUCCUUUGACAACUCUAGAGAUAGAGCCUUCCCCUUCGGGGGACAAAGUGACAGGUGGUGCAUGGUUGUCGUCAGCUCGUGUCGUGAGAUGUUGGGUUAAGUCCCGCAACGAGCGCAACCCUUAAGCUUAGUUGCCAUCAUUAAGUUGGGCACUCUAAGUUGACUGCCGGUGACAAACCGGAGGAAGGUGGGGAUGACGUCAAAUCAUCAUGCCCCUUAUGAUUUGGGCUACACACGUGCUACAAUGGACAAUACAAAGGGCAGCGAAACCGCGAGGUCAAGCAAAUCCCAUAAAGUUGUUCUCAGUUCGGAUUGUAGUCUGCAACUCGACUACAUGAAGCUGGAAUCGCUAGUAAUCGUAGAUCAGCAUGCUACGGUGAAUACGUUCCCGGGUCU